rnacentral:rRNA from 2 species
CAUGCAAGUCGAACGAGUUCUCGUUGAUGAUCGGUGCUUGCACCGAGAUUCAACAUGGAACGAAUGGCGGACGGGUAGUAACACGUGGGUAACCUGCCCUUAAGUGGGGGAUAACAUUUGGAAACAGAUGCUAAUACCGCAUAGAUCCAAGAACCGCAUGGUUCUUGGCUGAAAGAUGGCGUAAGCUAUCGCUUUUGGAUGGACCCGCGGCGUAUUAGCUAGUUGGUGAGGUAAUGGCUCACCAAGGCGAUGAUACGUAGCCGAACUGAGAGGUUGAUCGGCCACAUUGGGACUGAGACACGGCCCAAACUCCUACGGGAGGCAGCAGUAGGGAAUCUUCCACAAUGGACGCAAGUCUGAUGGAGCAACGCCGCGUGAGUGAAGAAGGCUUUCGGGUCGUAAAACUCUGUUGUUGGAGAAGAAUGGUCGGCAGAGUAACUGUGUCGGCGUGACGGUAUCCAACCAGAAAGCCACGGCUAAUAC